rnacentral:rRNA from 1 species
GACGAACCGUGCGAGCGUUGUUCGGAUUCACUGGGCUUAAAGGGCGCGUAGGCGGGCGUGCGAGUCCGGGGUGAAAUCUUUCGGCUUAACCGGAAAAGGGCCUCGGAUACCGGUCGUCUCGAGGGAGGUAGGGGCAGCUGGAACUUCCGGUGGAGCGGUGAAAUGCGUUGAUAUCGGAAGGAACGCCGGUGGCGAAAGCGAGCUGCUGGACCGCAUCUGACGCUGAGGCGCGAAAGCCAGGGGAGCGAACGGG